GGGGCGUUAGCUCAGUUGGUAGAGCAUCUGACUUUUAAUCAGGUGGUCGCGCGUUCGAGCCGCGCACGCCCCACCA
rnacentral:tRNA from 1 species